CUACGGGCCGCAGCAGUGAGGAAUAUUGCACAAUGGGGGGAACCCUGAUGCAGCAACGCCGCGUGGAGGAUGACGCAUUUCGGUGUGUAAACUCCUUUUAUAUGUCAAGAAAAUGACGGUAGCAUAUGAAUAAGCACCGGCUAACUCCGUACCAGCAGCCGCGGUAAUACGGAGGGUGCAAGCGUUACUCGGAAUCACUGGGCGUAAAGGACGCGUAGGCGGGUUGGAAAGUCAGGUGUGAAAUCCUACAGCUUAACUGUAGAACUGCACUUGAAACUUCUAAUCUAGAGUAUGGGAGGGGGAGAUGGAAUUAGUAGUGUAGGGGUAAAAUCCGUAGAUAUCACUAGGAAUACCUAAAGCGAAGGCGAUCUCCUGGAACAUUACUGACGCUGAGGCGUGAAAGCGUGGGGAGCAAACAGGAUUAGAUACCCCCGUAGUC
rnacentral:rRNA from 1 species